GGGGGGUAACCCCUGGUGGCGAGUGGCGAACGGGUGAGUAAUAUAUCGGAACAUGCCCUGUAGCGGGGGAUAACGCGUCGAAAGAUGUGCUAAUACCGCAUACGCUCUACGGAGGAAAGCGGGGGUCGCAAGACCUCGCACUAUAGGAGUGGCCGAUAUCGGAUUAGCUAGUUGGCGGGGUAAAAGCCCACCAAGGCAACGAUCCGUAGCUGGUCUGAGAGGAUGAUCAGCCACACUGGAACUGAGACACGGUCCAGACUCCUACGGGAGGCAGCAGUGGGGAAUUUUGGACAAUGGGCGCAAGCCUGAUCCAGCCAUGCCGCGUGAGUGAAGAAGGCCUUCGGGUUGUAAAGCUCUUUCGGCAGGAACGAAAUGGUUCGUGCUAAUACCACGGACUAAUGACGGUACCUGAAGAAGAAGCACCGGCUAACUACGUGCCAGCAGCCGCGGUAAUACGUAGGGUGCAGGCGUUAAUCGGAAUUACUGGGCGUAAAGCGUGCGCAGGCGGUUUCUUAAGUCAGAUGUGAAAGCCCCGGGCUUAACCUGGGAACUGCGUUUGAAACUGGGAGACUGGAGUGUGGCAGAGGGGGGUGGAAUUCCACGUGUAGCAGUGAAAUGCGUAGAUAUGUGGAGGAACACCAAUGGCGAAGGCAGCCCCCUGGGUUAACACUGACGCUCAUGCACGAAAGCGUGGGGAGCAAACAGGAUUAGAUACCCUGGUAGUCCACGCCCUAAACGAUGUCAACUGGUUGUUGGGGGAUUAACUCCCUUAGUAACGAAGCUAACGCGUGAAGUUGACCGCCUGGGGAGUAC
rnacentral:rRNA from 1 species